ACCCAGUGAUGAGACCAAGGCGAAUGUGAGCCCACUGAAUUAGAGUCUGAACUCUCCUGUGUACCUAUUGGCUGGUAAUCUUGGCUGGACAGUGAAGAUUUGCUGUCUUGCUGUAAGGGCCUGCCUACAUUCAACAAGCCCUUCCCUUAUACAUUUUAAUCCUUUUGAGAAAUGGGGGAAGAGACAGGUGGGGGCUUACAUUUUGAGUGAGUGAGUGAAGGGUCAUGGGUUGAGUUUCAAUUCUCUAUGGUAAUUUUGUGGGCACUGAACUCUAUCUUUGGUUAUCUGAGGGCA